rnacentral:rRNA from 1 species
GACGAACGCUGGCGGCGUGCUUAACACAUGCAAGUCGAACGAUGAACCCGGAGCUUGCUCCGGUGGAUUAGUGGCGAACGGGUGAGUAACACGUGAGUAACCUGCCCUUGACUCUGGGGUAACUGCGGGAAACUGUAGCUAAUACCGGAUACGACCCUCGGCGGCAUCGCCAGGGGGUGGAAAGAAUUUCGGUCAAGGAUGGACUCGCGGCCUAUCAGCUAGUUGGUGAGGUAACGGCUCACCAAGGCGACGACGGGUAGCCGGCCUGAGAGGGGGACCGGCCACAGUGGAAGUGAGACGGGGCCGAGACUCCUGCGGGGGGCAGCGGGGGGGAAUAUUGUACAAGGGGCGCAAGCCGGAUGCAGCAGCGCGGCGUGGGGGAUGACGGCCUUCGGGUUGUAACCCUUUUUUAGUAGGGAAAAGGCGAAAGUGACGGUACCUGCAGAAAAGGCCCCGGCUAACUACGUGCCAGCCGCCGCCGUAA